GGGAAAGAGAGGGGAACACACCUGGAGCAGAGUGAGCCAGAUCCACACUAAAAUGCAAGGAUCUCCUAUCUCAGGGAUUUUGGCUGGGAGGUAGCCAGAUUAGCUCAGAGGAUUAGACUAGAUUAAUAACUGCUCAGAUAUUGUACUGUAAACCUUGAUCAAAUAGAUCUUAUAGUCUCUGUCUCAUUUAUUUGGGAGCUAGCUGGAAUAAAGGAACAAUAAUCACUUAAUAAAAUUGCUCUAAUACGUAUGGUCUCACUGUGUAGACCAGACCAGCCUUGAGAUCUGUCUGCCUCUGCCUCCCAAGUGCUGGGAUUAAAGACAUGCACCACUGUGUCCAGCUGGAUUCAAGUAUUUUAUUUCAAAUUUAUAUCUUUAAAUGCUUAUUACAGUUCAUUGUUUUUGUUUUUCUGCAACUCUCUUUGCAUACAUAGUGUGUAUAUGGAGGUCAGAAAACAGCCUGAAGGAGUUGGCUCUCUCCUUUUACCACAAUGGGGCCUGGGGAUUGAGCUCAGGUAGUCAGUCUUGGUAGCAAGUGCCUUUACCCAUUAUGCUGUCUUUCAGUCCUUUUCCUCUAGUUCUUUUGUUGUUUUUGUUUGAGACAGACACCUGUAGCCUAGGCUGACUUUGAACUCUGUGGAUUUGAGAAUAACCUUCAACCCCUGUACCUCUCAAAUGCUGAGAUAUAGGCGUGUCACACAUCACAAUCAGCUUUACCCUUUGAUUUUGACACAUGUUCAUUUGAUUAUUUCAAUCUUUAAUGUCUGUUUUUAGUUUUGUUUUUGCUGUUGUUGCGUUGUAUUUUGUUUUUUGCAAUACCUUUUCUUUGUGCUCCUUUAUAUUUCUUCCUUACUUCUGCUCUAAAUGUUUUCCAUGUCUCCCUUGAAUUCUGCCAGCCCAUACUUCCCAUAUUCCUUUAAUCUGGACAUUCUCCUUUGAGUCUUGAUUUUUGUUUUGUUAGUUUUUUUGUAGUCUUACUCAUAGGGGUAGUACUUUCAUUGAUUCCUGCAAAUUCAUGCAAGAAUAUUUAGUAACAAUUUUACUUUCUCCAUCAUAAUUCUCCUGAUGACUCGUCCCAGGUUCUCCCGUUUGUUUGUUGCUUAGUCCUAUGCCAGUCCUUUUUUAAUUCUUUAUAAUGUAAUUGCUUGGAUUUUCUGCAGUUGCUGUUAUAGAAGACUUGGAGGAGGCUACGUAGAUUUCUUCCUCACGUUGCACAUACAGCAGCUGGAUGUGUUUGUCUAUAUUGCCAUAAGGCAUGUUUCUUCCUAAGUCAGAUUGAGUCUGGGAGGUGUUUUAUGGCCAAAUCUGGACUUCAUGCUCCUUCCCUUGCAGCUGUGGUGACUGACAGCAGAAGAGAGUCAAGCCCUUCCUCAGGAAGUGCGUUACCAAUGUUGACCUCUCUCUCUCUCUCUCUCUGUGUGUGUGUGUGUGUGUACAUACAAUUUAUUUUUAUUUUAUGUUCACUGGUGUUUUGCCUGCAUUGUACUGCCUGUGCGAGGGUGUCAGAAACCCUAGAAGUGGAGUUACAGACAGGUGUGAGCUGCCAUGAAGAUGCUGGGAGUUGGACUCAGGUCCUUUAAAAGAGCAUCUAGUGCCCUUAGCUGCUGAACCAUCUCUCCGGCUCUUUAGCUCUCCCCUUGCCAUGAGGUAUGAUGCUAUCUCUGUACUUCAUUCCAACACGGAUAUUUUCAGCCUUGUUUCUUUUUAGCCUUGCUCUCAGGUGCUUUGGAAGUUUUAUAUUUUUGUGUUGUUUUUUUUUUCUGGGUUUGCUAGAAACAAAGGACUUUUAUGGCCCCACUUCUCAUUGCUUUGUGUGCUUCCUUGAGAGAGUUAUACCAUAGAGUCUCCACAAAGAUCCUCAUUCACCUGGGUGGGAAAGCUCAAAUAGCCCUGCCAUACUUGUACUGGACUGUGGUUGGUUGUUAUAAAAUGGUGAUACAUUUUAUCAUCAAGUCAUCAAGUUAAUUUUCUUCAAAGUCUGCCUGAAAGCAAGAAGUAGCCUCCAAAGUAAGUGUGUGUAUGUGUGUGUGCGCGCGCGUGUGUGCCCCAAGAGGUUUUUUUGAUCCUUGACUACUACCACUUACACAGUUAGACUUUUCACUUCUUUCCUCUAGGCUCAGGUACGAGAUGUCAUCAGAUGGAAUGGAAGAGAUGGCAGCUUUGAUACCUCACUGGGGAAUGGGAUGAGAUGUGGGCUGAUACUCUUAGGUCUGCUCUGUAGGCCACUUUGAAAACUGCAAGGACACCACUGUCCCCAGUUUCUUGUGACUAUUCCCAAUCUAAAAUUCAAGUUUAUUGAGUUUUCUUUUUUUUGUUUUGUUUUAUUUUGUUUUGUUUUGUUUUUGUUUGAGACAGGUUUUUGUAGCCCUGGCUGUCCUGGAACUCACUGACCUUGAAUUUAGAGAUUGAACUUAGAGAUUCACCUGCCUGUGACUCCUAAGUGCUGGGAUUAAUAAAGGCAUAUGCUCCCACCACCUGGCUCAGUACAUGGCUUUCAAGAGUUCUUUGUAGUUUGUAAACUAAUAGCCAUAUUUAGCACUUGAUAUGCUUAUUUGACCUUGGCACUAAUUAAAAUAUAAUUAGCUGUCAAAAUUUAAAAUAUAAGCUGGGCAUGGUGGCGCACGCCUUUAAUCCCAGCACUCGGGAGGCAGAGGCAGGUGGAUUUCUGAGUUCGAGGCCAGCCUGGUUUACAAAGUGAGUUCCAGGACAGCCAGGGCUAUAGAGAAACCCUGUCUCGAAAAACC
rnacentral:lncRNA from 1 species